UAGUGGCAGACGGGUGAGUAACAUGUAGGUAUCUGCCCUUUGGCCUGGAAUAACACGAGGAAACUUGUGCUAAUACCGGAUAAGUCUUUACGGAGAAAGCUUUAUGCACCAUUGGAUGAGCCUGCACUUGAUUAGUUUGUUGGUGGGGUAAUGGCCUACCAAGACUGUGAUCAAUAGCUGAUUUGAGAGGAUGAUCAGCCACAUUGGGACUGAGACACGGCCCAAACUCCUACGGGAGGCAGCAGUGGGGAAUCUUGCACAAUGGAGGAAACUCUGAUGCAGCGAUGCCGCGUGAGUGAAGAAGGCCCUUGGGUUGUAAAGCUCUUUCGUCGGGGAAGAAAAUGACUGUACCCGAAUAAGAAGGUCCGGCUAACUUCGUGCCAGCAGCCGCGGUAAUGCGAAGGGACCUAGCGUAGUUCGGAAUUACUGGGCUUAAAGAGUUCGUAGGUGGUUGAAAAAGUUAGUGGUGAAAUCCCAGAGCUUAACUCUGGAACUGCCAUUAAAACUUUUCAGCUAGAGUAUGAUAGAGGAAAGCAGAAUUUCUAGUGUAGAGGUGAAAUUCGUAGAUAUUAGAAAGAAUACCAAUUGCGAAGGCAGCUUUCUGGAUCAUUACUGACACUGAGGAACGAAAGCAUGGGUAGCGAAGAGGAUUAGAUACCCUCGUAGUCCAUGCCGUAAACGAUGUGUGUUAGACGUUGGAAAUUUAUUUUCAGUGUCGCAGGGAAACCGAUAAACACACCGCCUGGGGAGUACGACCGCAAGGUUAAAACUCAAAUGAAUUGACGGGGACCCGCACAAGUAGUGGAGCAUGUGGUUUAAUUCGAAGAUACGCGCAGAACCUUACCAACACUUGACAUGUUCGUCGCGACUCUAAGAGAUUAGAGUUUUCGGUUCGGCCGGACGAAACACAGGUGCUGCAUGGCUGUCGUCAGCUCGUGUCGUGAGAUGUUGGGUUAAGUCCCGCAACGAGCGCAACCCUCACUUUUAGUUGCCAUCAUUAAGUUGGGCACUCUGAAAGAACUGCCAGUGAUAAGCUGGAGGAAGGUGGGGAUGACGUCAAGUCCUCAUGGCCCUUACGUGUUGGGCUACACACGUGCUACAAUGGUAUCUACAACAGGAAGCAAGACUGCGAAGUUAAGCAAAUCCCUAAAAGAUACCUCAGUUCGGAUUGCACUCUGCAACUCGAGUGCAUGAAGCUGGAAUUACUAGUAAUCGUGGAUCAGCGUGCCACGGUGAAUGCGUUCCCGGGUCUUGUACACACCGCCCGUCACACCAUGGGAGUUGGUUCUACCUUAAG
rnacentral:rRNA from 1 species